rnacentral:rRNA from 1 species
AUUGCCCCAGUAACGGCGAGUGAAGCGGCAGGAGCUCAAAUUUGAAAUCUGGGGUCGCCGACCUCCGAGUUGUAAUUUGGAGAGGCAUCUUCGGGGGGGAGCGCCGGCCCCAUGUUCCUUGGAACAGGACGUCGCAGAGGGUGAGAAUCCCGUGCCAGGCCGGCCGCCUCCGCCCCAUUGAGGGGCCUUCGACGAGUCGAGUUGUUUGGGAAUGCAGCUCCAAGUGGGUGGUAAAUUUCAUCUAAAGCUAAAUACCGGCGGGAGACCGAUAGCGCACAAGUAGAGUGAUCGAAAGAUGAAAAGCACUUUGAAAAUAGAGUCAAAAAGUACGUGAAAUUGUUGAAAGGGAAGCGCUUGAGACCAGACCCAGACCCGGGCAAACACCGCGCCCCUCGGGGCCGUGCAAUUGCCCGUGGCUGGGCCAGCAUCAGUCGGCCCGGCGGGACAAAUGCGGGGGGAAUGUGUCUCCCCUCGGGGAGCGUUUAUUAGCCCCUCGCCCAAUGCCGCCCGAGCCGACUGUGGACCGCGCCUCGGCUAGGAUGCUGGCUUAAUGGCCUUCAGCGACCCGUCUUGAAACACGGACCAAGGAGUCUAACAUCUAUGCGAGUGUUUGGGCUUCAAACCCUUGCGCGGAAUGAAAGUGAGCGGAGGUGGGAACCCCCCCGCGGGGCGCACCAUCGACCGAUCCUGAUGUCCUCG